rnacentral:tRNA from 1 species
GCAGUGGUGAAUUCAAUGGUAGAAUUCUCCCCCUCCACGCAGGAGACCUAGGUUCGAUUCCCAGUCAAUGCA